rnacentral:sRNA from 1 species
ACCCUUCCGGUUGCAGCCUGAGAAAUCAGGCUGAUGGCCGGUGACUUUUUAGUCACCAGCCU